AUUGAACGCUGGCGGCAGGCCUAACACAUGCAAGUCGAGCGGAUGAGGGUAGCUCGCUAUCUGAUUCAGCGGCGGACGGGUGAGUAAUGCCUAGGAAUCUGCCUGGUAGUGGGGGACAACGUUUCGAAAGGAACGCUAAUACCGCAUACGUCCUACGGGAGAAAGUGGGGGAUCUUCGGACCUCACGCUAUCAGAUGAGCCUAGGUACGAUUAGCUAGUUGGUGAGGUAAAGGCUCACCAAGGCGACGAUCGUUAACUGGUCUGAGAGGAUGAUCAGUCACACUGGAACUGAGACACGGUCCAGACUCCUACGGGAGGCAGCAGUGGGGAAUAUUGGACAAUGGGCGAAAGCCUGAUCCAGCCAUGCCGCGUGUGUGAAGAAGGUCUUCGGAUUGUAAAGCACUUUAAGUUGGGAGGAAGGGCAGUAAGUUAUUACCUUGCUGUUUUGACGUUACCGACAGAAUAAGCACCGGCUAACUUCGUGCCAGCCGCCGCGGUAAUAC
rnacentral:rRNA from 1 species